rnacentral:rRNA from 1 species
CAGCCGCGCGGUAAUACCAGCCCCGCGAGUGGUCGGGACGAUUAUUGGGCCUAAAGCGUCCGUAGCCGGGUUGGGAAGUCCUCCGGGAAAUCUGGCCGCUUAACGGUCAGAAUGCCGGAGGAUACUCCCAGCCUAGGGAGCGGGAGAGGCCGAGGGUAUUCCCGGAGUAGGGGUGAAAUCCUAUAAUCCCGGGAGGACCACCUGUGGCGAAGGCGCUCGGCUGGAACGCGUCCGACGGUGAGGGACGAAGGCCAGGGGAGCAAACCGGAUUAGAUACCCGGGUAGUCCUGGCUGUAAACGAUGCGGACUUUGUGUCGGACAAGCUAUGAGCUUGUCCGGUGCCGGAGGGAAACCGUUAAGUCCGCCGCCUGGGGAGUACGGCCGCAAGGCUGAAACUUAAAGGAAUUGGCGGG